AUUGAACGCUGGCGGCAUGCUUUACACAUGCAAGUCGAACGGUAACAGGGUGCUUGCACCGCUGACGAGUGGCGAACGGGUGAGUAAUGCGUCGGAACGUGCCGAGUAGUGGGGGAUAACGCAGCGAAAGUUGUGCUAAUACCGCAUACGUACUGAGGUAGAAAGUGGGGGACCUUCGGGCCUCACGCUAUUCGAGCGGCCGACGUCUGAUUAGCUAGUAGGUGAGGUAAAGGCUCACCUAGGCGACGAUCAGUAGCGGGUCUGAGAGGAUGAUCCGCCACACUGGGACUGAGACACGGCCCAGACUCCUACGGGAGGCAGCAGUGGGGAAUUUUGGACAAUGGGCGAAAGCCUGAUCCAGCCAUGCUGCGUGUCUGAAGAAGGCCUUCGGGCUGUAAAGGACUUUUGUCAGGGAGGAAAUCCCUAGUGCUAAUAACACUGGGGGAUGACAGUACCUGAAGAAUAAGCACCGGCUAACUACGUGCCAGCCGCCGCAGUAA
rnacentral:rRNA from 1 species